rnacentral:misc_RNA from 1 species
GUCUUGCCCAGUUAAAAAUAUGAAUGAGUUUGAGAGCAUUGUGGAUUCAUCUAAGCUUCUUUCUGCCUGUGAGAAGAUUGAUCCUGUGAAAGAAUGUUGUGACCAAGUAUGUCAAAAUGCUAUAUCAGAAGCUGCUACAAGAAUUGCACUAAAAACUUCUGAAAUCUUGAGCAUGGAUGGGACCCAUGGUUUACCUCAGCACUCAACUAG